rnacentral:tRNA from 1 species
UCCCUGGUGGUCCAGUAGAUAAGACCCUCCCAAUGCAGAAGGCCCAGGUUCGAUUCCUGGCCAGGGUA